rnacentral:rRNA from 1 species
AUGCUCCCGCUCGCCGCCGCAAGGGCCUGCCUUUCCUCCCUGACGCCGCCCCGAGACCCCAAACCCGAGCGGCGCCUCUCUCCCCUUCACCGUCGCCGCUCCACCGCCACGCUGCCCAGACCCGCCAGGAGCCCCCCCCUCCGCCCGCUUGGGGCGGCCGCGGGCGCAGCUCCACGCACAUCCUCGCGGCCCGUGAGGGACCGCGUGAUCGACUUCGGCAAGCACAAGGGCCAGAUGCUGGGCACGCUGCCACCGUCCUACCUGCGCUGGGUGGUCGCAGACCUCGACUACGGGGACACGCUGGUCUGCGCGCGCUUGGCGUGCGAGGUGCUCGACGACCCCGUCUACGUCGAUCGCGUCGAGUGGGAGCACGCGCACCACUUCCUCCGCGGCGACUCCAAGUUCGACUACGUCUACGACGACGACGACGGCGACGAGCCCCUCCAGGAGAUGGCCGAGCACUUUGGCUGGGAUCUCUCCGACGAGGACGGCUGGGGCCGCCUCGACUUCUGCCUCCUCGGCACCUCCUACAACGGCCGCAACCCGAGGAAGGCCGACCGGCGCCAGAGCACCGGCAGCGACAGCAACAGACCUCCCCCCGGCGGCGGCGCCCUGUUCGACACCGGGGCGGCCGACCCGGACGGGCCGAGGGGGAAGGGGGACGAGAGGAGGGAGCGGCUGCGGACGAGGAGGGAGGAGCAGGUGAGGACGGCGAAACUGGAUGUGCUCGACGUGAACUCUGGCGCGAAGGAUGGCCACGGUGGCACCUGGUUCGUGGGUCCAACCAGUCAGAUUUGUGCUUAG